rnacentral:rRNA from 1 species
GACAGAGGUGCCAAGCGUUAGGCGGAAUCACUGGGCUUAAAGCGUAUGUAGGCGGACUUGUAAGUACCUUGUGAAAUCCCACGGCUCACCCGUGGAACUGAUGGGUAUACUGCGAGUCUUGAGCCACUUAGGGGCUGUCGGAACAGGCGGUGGAGCGGUGAAAUGCGUAGAUAUCGCCUGGAACGCCAAAGGUGAAAACAGACAGCUGGGAGUGUGCUGACGCUGAGACACGAAAGCCAGGGGAGCGAACGGGAUUAGAUACCCCGGUAGUCCUGGCCGUAAACGAUGUCGACUAGAUCGUGGAGCCUCUGACGGUCUCACGGUCGAAGCAAAAGUGCUAAGUCGACCGCCUGGGAAGUACGGUCGCAAGGCUAAA